UAAAUAAAAAACUACUCCACGGCAAAGACACCACUUUUCCUACCCCUCUUGCUUCCGGCUCUAGUCCCGACGAAGCAGGCCAACUCAGAUAAUCUUCCCACUGCUUCAGACAGCGACCUUACAGCAAUUACAAUGGUAAACAAUUUCAAUAAGACACAAACAACAUUAAAAAUAGGUGUUUGUAUUACUCACAAAUAUGAUUUCCCCAAUACACAGAUCAACACAAGGGGGAUUUAGAUGGUGAUUGUUUGAUGGAUGAGAUCCUGAGCUAUAUAAGCGGAUGGCGUGCACCUGAGGUGCAGAAAGAGCAAAUCCUCCAUGACUGCAAGGCAUGUGAGAGGCUGCUGGUCCACAUGGGUUCUGAGCAUAACUAUGCUAAAGGAUCUUCUGAUGCAACAUCCUUUAUCAACAGGAAGUGCUACACUGAGAACACUAGACUGGUGGAGCCAUCUCAUCUGCUGAGGGUGAUGGUAACAAAAAUGGAGGACAUAAUUGACAAAAACUUUGCCCGUUUUUGCCUAGAGACUUCUAUUGUGUCAGGACUAAGAGUCCUCUUACUUAGAUCUAGUCUAGUGCCUUUGAUUGCAUCCUGGAAGGCCGUGUCGAUGCAUGCCUACCCCCUCCAUAGGAAAAAAUAUAAAGAAAUACACCAUGUGUAGAAUGUGAGCACAGCUUAGAAAAAUAAAUUGUGAAGUUAACGAACCAAAAACCACAGCACAGCGUAAACUGAAUCAUUUCACUGAAUAAUACGUUUUUGGGGGUGUUUUAUAAUAUCAGACAUCAGUAACUGUAUGGCGCCGUGUGCUGUAUGGGAAGUGGACAGAGUGUAUAUACAGUGUGGAGCCUAAAGUGUAUGAAGCCAACAAGAAGUCAGAGAAGGGGGAUACUAAGAAAAAUAAACAGGCGAGCACACAGACCUGUGAUUUGUCCAACUGUUUUUAAACAAUGGCAAAAAAAAAUCUUAAACAGUGUUUCUUCCUUUUACAUAAACAUGCAGUGGUUUUAGGUGAAGGUAAGGUAUAAGUGUAUUUGUAAGUACUGUUGGCUUAGUGUGCUACAGCAGUCCUAGUUAUUAUGGCUAUAUAGGUUGCUUUAAAGUUUGUGUGAAUGCAACUGUCUGUAGAUUGUAGUAGGCUAAUGUGUAUAGUAUUGUAUGUAGGAGCAAGUGCUGGAGAAAAGGAGACUGAGGAUAUGCCUGAGGUUUAAGAGACCGUCUCUGUGAUACCAGGAAGUGUCUAACUGUGGAGAAUAAAUCCAUGACCUGCACAUUCAGAAGAGGAAACACACACACACACAUUAGGGAUAUGAUUUAUAUCUGUGUUUCUAAUUAACCCUGACUCUGAUCCUUGCUAACGCUCUCUGUGGUAUAGAUGUAUCAUUUCACCAUGACUCUGAAUGAACUGGAGCCUGGUAUGGUGAGGCUAUUGGCAGCGUAAGAAUGCCAUCUAAGACCUGACAUCAGAGCCAUGGAGAAUGGAGACCUGGAUGCAGCAAGUGUAGAAAAGGACAGACUAGAGGAAAAACAGAGAGCUGCAUGCAAAUAACCUUCUAAGGAUGGAGAAGAGUGGUCAACCAGGUGGUUUCGGGUUGGGAACAAACCCCCAGGAAUGACUGUACACGGGGGAUACUUUGAUAGGAAUUACACUGUCCCAACAUUUACUGAUUGGUUAGGAGGGACUAGAAGGGUUUCCAUUACUACCCAUAGUGGAUGUAGGCCUGAUUAUCCUGUUCAUUCUCAGUAUUACAAUGUGAGGCAGCUGAGGACACAAUUAUGACAGUUUUCCAAACUUAGCCAAACCUCUCCCCCAACAGAAUCUCUGAAAUCAAGAAAUUAUGUAUGUGACUAAAAUGAUUUAUUUUCAUUUUGCAAGUGAAAAAUGGAACAUUUGAGCAAUCUGAAUGUGAAAGACAGAAAAUUGAGGAUAAGACAGUUAGUUACAUGAGGGAAGCAGAAUGUUCUGAUUUCUAUGUUAGUUUUCACAGGUGUCAGUCAUCCUAAAUGGACUGGCUAAUUUAACUGAAAGAAUCCCACUCAUCUCUGAUCGUGUUAUUUAUUGUACCCAUGGUUUUAUAAAACUAGGGAUUAGUAAGAACAGUGGUUAAAAACAAAUGGCAAGAGUUGUGGAACAGGGAGGGAAAGGGAAGACACCUGUAUAAGAUCCAGGAAGAGGUGGAGGCAGGGAGGUCCCCUGGUCAAGAGAAGGGAGGAAAGUUUAAUCACAAGGCUGAGACUGGGACACACAGGGUGUUACGGAUACAAGUAUCCUGUGUGUGUAUCCUCUGUGUGUGUUUUCUUUUCU